UCCUAUGACCUAUAGGCCUAGGCGAAAUACAUUAAUUUUGCAAUGUAUUAGCCUACUUCUUAGGUCUAUAUAAUAUUUACUACACAACUGAAAUAUCAACAUCAGUCAUGGCGAUUUUAUAGGAUUCCAGAGCCUUGACAGAUGCACACACACCACUGUGGUGACACGUCCCCAAAUGACUAUCUCUGUCCCCACGUUGUAAUUACCCCUCCCCCACUCUUUACCGCGCAGAGCCAGAGAGGGAAAAUCACAUUCACCUGGAGAAGCGCGUGCCAAAUGCAGGUCACCGCUGUCCCUAAAAAAAGGAUUAAGGAUAGAUUUGAGUUGGCCUGAUGGAGAGAUCUUCCAGACUGCUCCGGCCCAUGGAGGAUGCAGAGCAUCACAUAAGAUCAAACAUUGAUAAACCAGUACUUUACCAGUGUUUUAUCAAUAUCUUUAAAGAACGAGGAGUUUUUGCCACUGAAUUCAUAUCCAAAGGAGACUUUGUUGUGGAGUACCGAGGUGAACUGCUUACACAACAGGAGAGCGAGGUCCGAGCUGAUCAGUACAAUAAUUCUGAAAAGGUGUUUAUUUUCAAUGGAAAGGAAGAACAUGGUGGUAAGUAGGAUUGAUGAGAACAAAAUAAACACAUUACUACCUUUUGAGAUUUUAAAAAAGCAACAACAUUCAAAUGGAGACAGACAUUUUAAUGGUUGGUGGCACAGUAUGCACUGUAGGUCUGUCUCAGGCCCAGAUCCUAAUUUGACCUUGUCCCUGACCUAAACAGUGAGGAAAAAUAUUAUUCUUCAAACCAACUGGUUCGCUAUCAGAGCAUCUGCACUCCUUUUUUUAAACAACGCGUUAGGGACUUUCAAAUCAAAUUUUAUUUGUCACAUACACAUGGUUAGCAGAUGUUAAUGCGAGUGUAGCGAAAUGCUUGGGACUUUUCUGUCCCUUUUCUGAAAUAUAAACCCUGUGCUGCAAUAUCUUCAUUAAACUGUGACAUGUUAUGUUUCUAUGCAGCAUUGAUGCAUCUGAAGAGGACUCCUCCCUUGGGAGACUCGUUAAUGAUGAUCACAAAAGACACAAUCUCAAAAUGAAGGCCAUACAAGCAAACGAUGAGCCACACUUGUGCCUCUUCGCGACUCGAGAUAUUGUAGUUGGCAAAGAGUUGACUUAUAGUUACGGUGAUUCUGACUGGCCAUGGACAACACAGGUCAUCAAAGCUGAUGUGUCGUCCAGCCCAAAACCUAUGACAGCCCUCGAAAACUUGGAAGAGUGGGUUCCGGGAGCACCCGCGGGAACCCUGCCUAGAGUGCACAGAGUGUGUCUCGGGCCCCGACCUCUUGACUUCCAUAUGACUCUGGUUUCUCUUCAUUACGCACAAGCCUUUCGCCUUUUACUAAAGACUUCCGUGGAGAGGAACACUUACGAGUUCAACGUAUUUUUGGAGCGGCUUUGCUUCUUGCAGAGCCCGGUAUCUUGUUUCAA
rnacentral:lncRNA from 13 species